GGGGGGGGGGGAAAAAAAAACAAAAAAAAAAACCACUUGUUCUUCACUGUCUGGCAUAACCUACCUUUGUGGCCUGCUCAGGAAAACUCUGGCUUGUGAACAGAGGGAUACAACCUGCUGAGGAAUGGCUUAGGAAGUUUUUCUCAAGUCCUCUCCAGCCACAACAUUGGUUGCUUGGUGAUGGUGUUGAUACUGCAAGCGUAGGAGUAGAGGUGAGAAGGGAGAGGGGAUUCUGAACCAGCAGUGAUUAUUCUGUUCUGUAAAUACCUACUGCAGCUUCAAACCACGAGAACAAAAAUCAGCAAGAGGGUGACCUUUUCUUUUUUGUUUGUUUGUUUUGUUUCUUUGUUUUAAAUGCUGUUUUUCCCAUUUCAAGUUGGGUGCAGUGCAUUCACUUCUAAGGCUGUUCCAUAUGUUCUGUGAGUCACCAUCUUUUAAUAUCCACAUGGAUCUUCAGGGCCUCCGGGCUUCUGCUCAUGUUGCUACAGUUCUCACAUCCUGUGGGGCAUGCCCACAAGUUACCAUGACGUUAUGGGACCUGGAUACACGUUCAGGGUGGGAUGUGCUUUUCUGCAUCUUGUAAACAUCUUGGAGAGAUACUGGAAAGGGAGAAAGCUGGAACCGUGGUGCACUUUGUGCACAUCUGCUGACAAACAUCACAGUGUUGCCUUUUUCCAUGAGUUCAGGCACAGCAUCUGAUCCCACACUCCCUGGAUUAAAGAGUUCCAUAAUUGGCCCAUGCUGGAAAUAGGGCAGUUUCCCUUUCAGCAUUCCCUCAUCCUCAGGCUGCAGAGCUGACUCUGUGCUGAGAUCUGUGCAGAGUUCAGCAAGGCUCUGUUUCUGCACGUUGGUGUUUUGCUGCUACUGUUCUUGUUUUACUUGAGGUUUGCCACUGCCUUUCUGUACCAAUAGCUGCGUGCUUCCAGGUUACUGGGAGGAUGCUGUAGGGAGAUGCCAGCACUAAUGGGCUUUAACCUUCCUCUGCUCCCACACCAAUCCUCACACUGAUGAACCAGCUCCCGGGUUAUU
ensembl:lncRNA